ACAUUCUAUCAAAUUCACAUCUAUAAAACUUGUGCAGUUUAUAAUCAUAUAUCACAUCACUCGAUAAUUCACAUUUAUGGCAACCUAAGCCAACUUGACAAACAUGAACAACAUUUAUAAAUCCACAAGCUAAAUAAAUUAUACAAUCAGAACUCUAACUAUUCACCACAAGUUCAUAUCAUCAUAAACUAGACUUAACAUUCCGAAAUUUCAAAUAAGAGAGAUCUUCUAACACUUUUACACAGUAUAUCCAUUUCGAUU
rnacentral:lncRNA from 1 species